rnacentral:rRNA from 1 species
GAUGAACGCUGGCGGCGUGCUUAACACAUGCAAGUCGAACGAAGCACUUAUGAUUGAGAUUUCGGUUGAUUGAUUAAGUGACUUAGUGGCGGACGGGUGAGUAACGCGUGGGUAACCUGCCUCGUACAGGGGGAUAACAGUUAGAAAUGACUGCUAAUACCGCAUAACCCGCUAGGGCCGCAUGGCCCGGACGGAAAAGAUUUAUCGGUACGAGGUGGACCCGCGUCCGAUUAGCUAGUUGGCAGGGUGAUAGCCUACCAAGGCGACGAUCGGUAGCCGACCUGAGAGGGUGAUCGGCCACAUUGGAACUGAGAUACGGUCCAA